rnacentral:tRNA from 1 species
GGUUGGGUAGCUCAGUUGGUUAGAGCAUUGUCCUAAUAUGCCAAGGUUGUGGGUUCAAUCUCCAGUCAGGCUA